rnacentral:rRNA from 1 species
UACGUAGGGGGCAAGCGUUGUCCGGAAUUAUUGGGCGUAAAGCGCGCGCAGGCGGUCGUUUAAGUCUGGUGUUUAAUCCCAGGGCUCAACCCUGGUACGCACUGGAAACUGGGCGACUGGAGUGCAGAAGAGGAGAGUGGAAUUCCACGUGUAGCGGUGAAAUGCGUAGAGAUGUGGAGGAACACCAGUGGCGAAGGCGACUCUCUGGUCUGUAACUGACGCUGAGACACGAAAGCGUGGGUAGCAAACAGG